CCAAAUUAUGUGUUUCUUUCACAAAUGAACGUCGAAUUUGGUUAUGAAGUUUUUAUGUCUUCAACUCUUUUGUUGGAUAUCGAUUCGGAGGAGAGUGAAAGUAUAAUAAGGUACCAACAGAAGGGUCUUAGAGCUCAAGCUAUGAGUACUAUCACUCAUGGAAAGUCUGUUGCUAGCAUAGAGAAUUCAAAGAACAACCCUGAUCAUCUCCUUGUUCUUUGUUAGAGAUGUAAUAUCAAACCAUUCACGUGUCUUCACCUACCAACUUAAACUAUUGGAAUAGUUGGUUCAUGAUAUGGAUGUAUGAUGUUCUCAAGGCACAAGAUGUUGACACGUUGCCCGGUAUCUGUGGCUAGUCUUUGCAAUAUGAGUGUCAAAAGCAAAUAACACCGUUGAAGGAAAAGGUUGGCUGGUCCUGGAUGUAAAGGAGUGGAUACAGCAAUCAGACAGUGUUCUGAUUUUAGAGUGACAAAAAUCUGUGCUUUGUGAACAUCUUGCCAGAAAUGAGUGACCCCAAGUAUGCCUAUCCUUACCCUGCUCAAGGGUAUUAUCAAGGUCCUCCUGUGAUGGCACCACCACAAUAUGCUGCUCCACCGCCCAGAAGAGAUACUGGAUUCCUCGAGGGAUGAGUCGCAGCAUGUUAGCAUAAGAUGAAAGCCUGUAUCCAGAAAUGCAUGUGGUAGUGGUCGAAAGUUGUAUCUGCAUCACUUGAUCCAUGCCCCUGAAGCAGCUAGGAUUAGGGAGAAAUACACAGACCAAAUCUCGAAUGUGGAGUAAGGCUAGUGUGCGCCGGAUAUGCUGUGUAUGGUGUCGACUAUGAAGGGCAUGGACACUCUGAAGGUGCCCGAUCUUACAUAAAAAAGUUUGAUAACAUUAUUAACGAUUGUUAUGACUUUUUCAAGUUAGUCAGUGGUAGGGAUUCAAAUUAUUGACUUUAUUUGCAUUAUUCUCAAUGUUGAAACUUUUAUACUGGCUGAGAAGAAUAUAGCUUCAUCCAUAAAACAGAUCAGUUGAGAAUAGAUCAUCAAAUUCAUCCCCUCCUUCCACAUCGGUCUUCUGGGUAUGCCACUCCUCUUCACUAAUAUCAUGCUAGCAGUAGCUUAGUUGUAUAGUGUCAUAGGUGAGGUAUUUCUCGGUUUGUUUAAUGCCUCUAUAUAUAGUUCAAAGAAGAUUAAUUCAUUUUAUGCUGGACCUGAAGUAAAUGUAUGGAGCUGGAGCUGUGGUGUAAUUUUAUACGCUCUUCUCUGUGGCACUCUUCCUUUUGAAGAUGAAAACAUUCCCAACCACUUCAAGAAAAUCAAGGGUGGGAUAUACAACAAAUGCACUAACUGCAUGCUGCACUAAAAAGAAAGCAUGUGUUCGUGUGAAUGCACGACGUCCUUUGCUCUAAUCAGCAAGUGGAUUUGACAUAUAUUGUGGAUAGUGUCAAACAACUUUAUGUUCAGUGGAAGAGACAAUUUCCUAUAAAUAUUAACUAAUUUCUUGAAUUUAAUAGCAAUUCAAAAAAUAAAACAAUUGAUUAGCACCUCGUGGUGCGUGCCUUUAUCAUUCUAUAGAC